UGAUGUUUCCUCUGACAUGUAAUCGUAGUCAUCAAUCAUUUCUUAAAUAAAGCUUCUGUAACAAACGAUAUAUAUAGGACCACUUUAAAAUCAGACUACAUGUACAUGUACAUGUAACAAGUUUUUAUUUGAAGGAAUGUAUGGUCUUCAUUCUCAUAAAUCAUACAUGUUACAGUUUUCCUCUUUUCUGUUGUCAUGACAGUUUUACUUUUAGUCACAGACAGCUGAAAAUUAGUCAACGAAGCUGGACUAGGAUGAUAGUUACUUUGCGUACUGUGGCGUGUAGUAGAUAUAACGAUUUUCUUAUUAUUGUGUCGUCCAUUUUAAGGACACCAAAAGAAAAAAAGAAAAAUAUUUGAAAAUGGAGGGAAUGUGAAAAUAUUCAAGGAAUUUUGAAUGUCCCUAGAUAAAAAGGAUUUAACAAUUUUCUUGAAAAGGCGACCGCCUUACUGAUCGCCGACAUGAAAAUGAGUCUAUGUUUCGUAAGAACAUAUGUAGCCAUACUCCUAUGCAUAAUGCCUUGAAAUAUUUGGAAAGUCAGAUUCAAGAGAGCUUAAAAAACUAGACGAUUAGGCAAAUAAAAUAAAAUAGCCAGACAAAAUGUGACAAACCUGUUUUGAUUUGCGGUCUAGACUUUAUAAAUGUGCACGAUUGAGAAAUUUUGAUUUACAAGUGUCGUACUACAAGCUCGGAUGACUACUACAUGUACAAUGUAAAGAAAAGUUAUGAAAAAUAAAAAAAUCAAUUUAUUACGUUAAACAUCUUAUCCACAUGCUAAAUGUCACCUUAACCAAUGUCUAGAGCUAUAUAUCUUCUUAAAACGAAUAGUUUAGACUUUGUACACUUUUAUUAUCCUCUUAGGAUGUUAUUAGCAAUUAUUUGAAUAUAAUAACAUAAUAAUUCCAAUUUUUCAGACGCCUAAACCUGCAGGAACUCUAGUGCAGAUAGGUUUGAACAUUACAACAAAUGACUUUGUUUAAAGUACAUUUCAGUAGAUGGCCACGUUCCAGCAAAUUAAUUACCAAAAUAAACUGUUAAACACAUUUGCA